CAAAUCCAAAUGUAAAGAAAUCAUCAAAGAAACACCAACAGAAACCAUGGCAAUGGGGAGAAGAACAGGAGUCGGCAUUUAAGACGUUGAAGGAGUUGCUUAUAUCAGCACCUAUACUAGGAUACGCCAACAGUGAAUUACCUUAUGAACUGCACACAGACGCCUCCGGUACAGCACUAGGAGCAGUUUUAUACCAGGAACAACAGGGAAUUAAGAGGGUAAUCAGCUAUGCCAGUAGAGGUCUUACAAAGUCGGAAAAGAGAUACCCACCGCAUAAACUGGAGUUUCUAGCACUAAAGUGGGCAGUUAGCGACAAAUUCAAAGAUUAUCUCUAUGGAAGCAACUUCACGGUACUUACAGAUAACAACCCCAUGACCUAUGUGCUUACAACAGCAAAGCUUGAUGCCACUGGACACAGAUGGUUGGCCGCUUUAGCCGCAUUCAACUUCAACAUAGUUUAUCGUCCAGGAAAAAAGAAUGGUGAUGCAGAUGGACUUAGUCGUCUACCACAACCAACUGACAAGGAUUCCACCAACAGAGAGACUAUCUCCAUAGAAUCUGUAAAGACCAUCUGUAACUCUAUUCUUCCAGGAGCAUACAUUGACAGUCUUGCUGUUAACCCAACUGUAAUACCAUCACAGGAAGAAGAUAUACCGGAUACUGAAACAGUUGAUUGGGCAGCUGCACAAGCCAUGGAUACUACCAUCAAGUCUCUUAUAAAGUAUGUCAUUCGAAGGAAAGAAACCGACAACUGCAGAUAUUGGACCAACACCACUACUGCGACAGUUCCAAUACCUCAAGAUGAAAGAUGGUGUACU
rnacentral:lncRNA from 1 species